AUUGAACGCUGGCGGAAUGCUUUACACAUGCAAGUCGAACGGCAGCACGGGGGCAACCCUGGUGGCGAGUGGCGAACGGGUGAGUAAUACAUCGGAACGUGCCCAGUCGUGGGGGAUAACGUAGCGAAAGCUACGCUAAUACCGCAUACGAUCUACGGAUGAAAGCGGGGGAUCGCAAGACCUCGCGCGAUUGGAGCGGCCGAUGGCAGAUUAGGUAGUUGGUGGGGUAAAGGCUUACCAAGCCUGCGAUCUGUAGCUGGUCUGAGAGGAUGAUCAGCCACACUGGGACUGAGACACGGCCCAGACUCCUACGGGAGGCAGCAGUGGGGAAUUUUGGACAAUGGGCGCAAGCCUGAUCCAGCCAUGCCGCGUGCGGGAAGAAGGCCUCGGUUGUAACGCGUUUAGUUCGGUAGAAAGGACGACGUCC
rnacentral:rRNA from 1 species